GACGAACGCUGGCGGCGUGCUUAACACAUGCAAGUCGAACGGAAAGGCCCCUUUGGGGGUACUCGAGUGGCGAACGGGUGAGUAACACGUGAGUAACCUGCCCUUGACUUCGGGAUAACUUCAGGAAACUGGGGCUAAUACCGGAUAGGAAUCCUUGCUGCAUGGUGGGGGUUGGAAAGCUUCGGCGGUUUUGGAUGGACUCGCGGCUUAUCAGCUUGUUGGUGGGGUAGUGGCUUACCAAGGCUUUGACGGGUAGCCGGCCUGAGAGGGCGACCGGCCACAUUGGGACUUAGAUACGGCCCAGACUCCUACGGGAGGCAGCAGUGGGGAAUAUUGCACAAUGGGCGGAAGCCUGAUGCAGCAACGCCGCGUGCGGGAUGACGGCCUUCGGGUUGUAAACCGCUUUCAGCAGGGGCGAAGCUUUUGUGACGGUACCUGCAGAAGAAGCACCGGCUAACUACGUG
rnacentral:rRNA from 1 species